GGGGAGCUCAAAUGGUAGAGUGCAUGUUUAGCAUGCAUGAGGUCCUGGGUUUAAUCCCCAAUAUCUCCU
rnacentral:tRNA from 1 species